rnacentral:rRNA from 1 species
AACGAACGCUGGCGGCAUGCCUAACACAUGCAAGUCGAACGAGACCUUCGGGUCUAGUGGCGCACGGGUGCGUAACGCGUGGGAACCUGCCCUUAGGUUCGUAAUAACUCCCCGAAAUGGGUGCUACUACCUGAUAAUGUCUUCGGACCAAAGAUUUAUCGCCUUUGGAUGGGCCCGCGUUGGAUUAGCUAGUUGGUAGGUUAAAAGCCUACCAAGGCGACGAUCCAUAGCUGGUCUGAGAGGAUGAUCAGCCACACUGGGACUGAGACACGGCCCAGACUCCUACGGGAGGAAGCAGUGGGGAAUAUUGGAGAAUGGGCGAAAGACUGAUCCAGCAAUGCCGGGUGAGUGAUGAAGGCGUUAGGGUUGUAAAGCUCUUUUACCCGGGAUGAUAAUGACAGUACCGGGAGAAUAAGCUCCGGCUAACUCCGUG